GCCACCAAUCAUGGGAUCGAGGAUUCUCUCAUGGAUGCAAUGAUGACCGCGUCAAGGGAGUUUUUCCGUCAACCGUCCGAAGAGAAGCAGAAAUGCAGCAACCUGGUGGACGGCAACGACAAGCAUUACCAGGUGGAAGGGUAUGGCAGUGACAGAGUGGUUUCCGAGGAUCAGGGCCUGAAUUGGAACGACCGGUUGCAUCUGAAGAGUGGAGCCGGAAGAUGAGAGGAAUUUUGCUAAGUGGCCCAGUCACCCGGAAUCUUUCAGCCAAGCUCUUGGAGAUUGAUGAGGAUUACUUCGUCAACCAGAUAUCAAACAAGGCUUCCGGGUUUGCCAGACUCUACUACUAUCCUCCACGUCCGAGGCCUGACCUAGUUUUGGGCCUCAGGCCUCACUCUGAUGGAAAUCUCCUUACUAUCCUUUUUGUCGACGACGAUGUUGGUGGCUUGCAAGUUCAGAGAGAUGGGAAAUGGUACAAUGUUCCAGCCAAGCCUCACACACUGGUGAUCAACUUGGGAGACUGCCUGGAGAUAAUGAACAACGGAAUCUUUAGGAGCCCGGUUCACAGAGUGGUGACAAACACCGAGAAGGAGAGGCUUUCGCUGGCCGUGUUCUAUGCCGUGGAUGAAGAAACAGUGCUGGAGCCAGCACCCGGUUUGCUGGAUGACAAGCGACC
rnacentral:rRNA from 1 species